CCUACGGGGGGCUGCAGUGAGGAAUAUUGGUCAAUGGCCGGAAGGCUGAACCAGCCAAGCCGCGUGAAGGACGAAGGUGCCAAGCAUUGUAAACUUCUUUUGUCAAGGGACAAAAUCAGGCACGUGAGCCUGACCGCGGGUACUUGAAGAAAACGCAUCGGCUAACUCGGUGCCAGCAGCCGCGGUAAUACGGAGGAUGCGAGCGUUAUCCGGAUUUAUUGGGUUUAAGGGGUGCGUAGGCGGACUGUUAAGUCAGCGGUAAAAGCCCGGGGCUAAACCCCGGCGAGCCGUUGAAACUGGCGGUCUUGAGAUGUCGAGAGGUAUGCGGAAUGCGCAGUGUAGCGGUGAAAUGCGUAGAUAUUGCGCAGAACUCCGAUUGCGAAGGCAGCAUACCGGCGGCGAUCUGACGCUGAGGCACGAAAGCGUGGGUAUCGAACAGGAUUAGAUACCCUAGUAGUC
rnacentral:rRNA from 1 species